UACGUAGGGUGCGAGCGUUAAUCGGAAUUACUGGGCGUAAAGGGUGCGCAGGCGGUCCUGCAAGUCAGGCGUGAAAUCCCCGGGCUUAACCUGGGAAUGGCACUUGAAACUACGGGACUGGAGUAUGGCAGAGGGAGGUGGAAUUCCACGUGUAGCGGUGAAAUGCGUAGAGAUGCGGAGGAACACCGAUGGCGAAGGCAAUCCCCUGGGCCUGCACUGACGCUCAUGCACGAAAGCGUGGGGAGCAAACAGG
rnacentral:rRNA from 1 species